rfam:Naegleria gruberi genomic scaffold NAEGRscaffold_5, whole genome shotgun sequence.
GGUCAGAUGGUCGAGUGGUCUAAGACGACACGUUAAGGUAAAACUAAUAUUAAUACCGUGUUCCGCAAGGGCGUGGGUUCAAAUCCCACUCUGAUCA